rnacentral:rRNA from 1 species
ACGGGAGGCAGCAGUGGGGAAUAUUGCACAAUGGGGGAAACCCUGAUGCAGCGAUGCCGCGUGGAGGAAGAAGGUUUUCGGAUUGUAAACUCCUGUCUUAAAGGACGAUAAUGACGGUACUUUAGGAGGAAGCUCCGGCUAACUACGUGCCAGCAGCCGCGGUAAUACGUAGGGGGCAAGCGUUGUCCGGAAUGAUUGGGCGUAAAGGGCGCGUAGGCGGCCCGAUAAGUCUGGAGUGAAAGUCCCGUCUUCAAGAUGGGAAUUGCUUUGGAUACUGUCGGGCUUGAGUGCAGGAGAGGUUAGUGGAAUUCCCAGUGUAGCGGUGAAAUGCGUAGAGAUUGGGAGGAACACCAGUGGCGAAGGCGACUAACUGGACUGUAACUGACGCUGAGGCGCGAAAGUGUGGGGAGCAAACAGGAUUAGAUACCCUGGUA